GAAUCAUUAGCUCAGUCGGCAGAGCACUUGACUUUUAAUCAAGGUGUCCGGGGUUCGAAUCCCCGAUGGUUCACCA
rnacentral:tRNA from 1 species